UACAGAGGGUGCAAGCGUUAAUCGGAAUUACUGGGCGUAAAGCGUGCGUAGACGGUUAUGUAAGUCAGAUGUGAAAGCCCCGGGCUCAACCUGGGAAUUGCAUUGAGACUGCAUAGCUAGGGUGCGGAAGAGGGAAGCGGAAUUUCCGGUGUAGCGGUGAAAUGCGUAGAUAUCGGAAGGAACACCAGUGGCGAAAAGCGGCUUCCUGGUCCAGCACCGACGC
rnacentral:rRNA from 1 species